GUUGCAUUCUAACCUUCUAGGGACAAAUUGGAAAAUAUGAAAUAUUCUCGAGCAUUACUUGGACUAUUGCCUGUGCUUGCUGCUUUUAUACAAUGUGGUUUGGCUCAUGAUCCGUUGCAGAUGGGUAAGAUAUAAGCGAUAUCAUGGAACACGGAUAUAAUAAUGGUGACAAUUCUUGCAGGGAUUUGUGCAAUGCGUCCCGAGUAUGGAAGAUGCGAUGGACAUACAAUGGUGUGGGCCUACGAUAAAGACAAUAAUGAAUGCACUCUAUUCACUUACUCCAACUGCGGUGGCAAUCGUAACCGUUUUUCAACUUAUGAGGAAUGUGUCAACACUUGUGUGAUGUUUGAAAAAACUGAUGAAUAUAGAUAUAAAUACCACAAUUAAAAUAAAAGAUAUUAUUUUCAAUAAAUAUAUAUUCAUAUAAGAUGGAAAA
rnacentral:lncRNA from 1 species